rnacentral:tRNA from 2 species
CAAAGUAGAGCUUGUUUAGUAGAGUAUUUCAUUUACACUGAAGUGUGUUUCGUGCAAAUCGAAUUAUUUUGA